AAUCAACGCUGGCGGCGUGCCUAACACAUGCAAGUCGCACGAGAAAGGGGAGCAAUCCCUGAGUACAGUGGCGCACGGGUGAGUAACACGUGAAUUAUCUACCUCCGAGUGGGGAAUAACUGAGAGAAAUCUUAGCUAAUACCGCAUAACACUUACGAGUCAAAGCAGCAAUGCGCUUGGAGAGGAGUUCGCGGCAGAUUAGUUAGUUGG
rnacentral:rRNA from 1 species